rnacentral:lncRNA from 1 species
GGGGUGGUUUGGGAGCAGCAGGGCUUUGUGAUAACCCCAAAGACCCCUCCUCUUUCCACCCCCUGCUGCCUCCUCCCUUCCCGCGGGUGUUCCGCAUUAUGGAGCAAGCCAAGAGGAAGUCCACCAGACGGCUCCGGAGGAUGUCUUCCUGAGCCUCACCUGCCCGAGGCCCCCCACCCGAAGGGAAAGCAGACAAGGACAAGCAAAACCAGCAGGCUCCCGGCCCCCCUCUCCUCCUUCGGCUCCAUUUCCCUCCCAGCCCUCCUCCCAGCCUCCCACCCCACCCCGCUCUGGGCCUCCCUCCCAGCAUCCCUCACGGCUCCCCUCAAAGUCUGCCUUGCUGUAAGAAAGAGCUGUGGUGCCAGGUUAGCACAGGUGCGCACAGCCUGCCCUGGGCUGCAGGGGGUACGGGGCUGGAGGGGUGGGUGUGGCUCUCUGCAGAUUGAGGCCACUCACCUUCGAGACCUGCCGGAGAACCCCCGUGUGUUUCUGUGGAGAAGGGUCCCCUGGAGUCCCGCCUGGGUGGCCCGUGGUCUCAUUGAGCCCUGGCCAUGGAAGCAGCCUCAGAGGAACACCUGCCAUGUCCUGUCAAGGAGAAGCCCUGUGGGUGACCGAAGCGGUGAUGAAGCUGUACUUAUGAAGGUGCUUGGAGGCUGCGCAGGUGUGAGAACGCUGAACUAAGGCCUGUGAGCUUGGACCGUCCGGCCUAGGUGGACGGGUGCAGCCGGGCGCCUUUGUCCACUGAGAAGCAGCCUAUCAGAUAGCCUUUCUCUCUCUAGAGUGGACACACCAGCCGCUCUAAAAAGCCCCUUUGACCCCUGCUUUGCAGGUUCCAGGAAGGCCACAACGACCGUCCCUGCCCCCACGCCCUGCCUCCGCUCACAGCAGCGCAGCAUCACGGUGUGGUCGUGUCCCUGGCUGCCACACCCACUCCAUCUGUUUUCCGUGUGGCUGCUCUGAGGCAUCUGCCAGCGUCCUCUGCCCCCCGCUCCCCACCCACUGAGCCUGGUUCUCCCUGUCCCCCGGGACCCUGGUCUGCCUCUUCCAAAGGCUCCUCUUCCUUCUCCCUGCCUGGUGGGUCCCUCAGCCCCAAGCCCGCCUCUCUCCCUCACUCUCCCCUCUGCACCUGCCACCCUUGGGNNNNNNNNNNNNNNNNNNNNNNNNNNNNNNNNNNNNNNNNNNNNNNNNNNNNNNNNNNNNNCCCCCCCCCCCCCCGGCUUUCAACUGGCAUCUUAUUCCAGCCAGGAACUGCCCUGAGCUCCCAACAAUCUAGACUUUUCCAAUGAGUUCUCUCACCCUCCUGAAGCCCAAAGGGAAAUGGGAUCUUCUCCCACCCUCUGGACACAGCUCGUCAGCCCACCAGCUCUGGGGGCUCUUACUGCCAGGGUGGUAGGCAAGGGAAGGCAUGGCUGCAGCAUUGUCAAGAGAAGAACACCUAUUUCCUGAAAAAUAGAAAACUUUGGGAGUUCCCGUCAUGCUUUAGCAGAAACAAAUCUCACUAGUAUCCAUGAGGAUGCAGGUUCGAUCCGUGGCCUGGCUCAGUGGGUUAAGAAUCCUGCAAUGCUGUGGCUGUGGUGUAGGCGGCAGACACAGCUCGGAUCCCUGCAUUGCUGUGGCUGUGGUGUAGGCCGGUGACUACAGCUCCGAUUGGAGCUCCAAUUCGACGCCUAGCCUGGGAACCUCCAUAGGAUGGGUGUGGCCCUAAAAAAAAAAAGAAAACUUUGUAAAUAAAUACAAGUGAUAAAGACAUGUAGGCCAGGGAGUUCCCGUCGUGGUGCAGUGGUUAACGAAUCUGACCAGGAACCAUGAGGUUGCGGGUUCGAUCCCUGCGCUUUCUCAGUGGGUUAACGAUCCGGCGUUGCUGUGAGCUGUGGUGUAGGUUGCAGACGCGGCUCGGAUCCCGCGUUGCUGUGGCUCUGGCGUAGGCUGGUGGCUACAGCUCCGAUUGGACCCGUAGCCUGGGAACCUCCACAUACCGCGGGAGCAGCCCAAGUAAAAUGGCAAAAAGACAAAAAAAAAAAAAAAAAAAAAAAAAAAAAAAAAAAAAAAGACAUGUAGGCCAACCGAGGGACUUGGAGCCACGAGGACUCCACAGACGCAGCAGGGCAGCGGAGUGAGAGCAGUGACUGGCUCUUUGCUCCCUGGCUGGGGAGACCAGCUUUAGUCCCUGCACAGUGCUGAACGAGUGCACCUCUGCCCUGGGGAGACCAGUAACAAAGUAAGAGGGUACGGUGGGACACAAAGUACCAAACUGGGAAACAGUAACCAGUGGCAACAGAGACAGCUAAAAACCUCAGGGGUCCUGUGGAGUUUCCUGUCCUCUGGCCUCUGGGGAGCAGGCCCCAAGUUUGCUCUGCUCUACCAGCUGGUCUUACACCGCCCCUGCCCCUUCCACCCCCAGCUCCCAGGGCCUCAUAUCUCACUUGUGAUCACGGCAGACAUCUCCAUCUCCUGCUCCAGACUGGCAUGGAGCCUUGACAACACGGAGGCUCCUCUGUGUGUGCCCAGCUGCUGAGCACAGACCAACUACCCUGAAGGGGUUCCAUGAGCCUAAGGGGUGGAGGGACAGGGCUGUGGCGAAGAGGGGAUGAGAGCAUUGACCCGGAUUCCCCAGCUUUUCUAGGAAGAGCCACUUUCAAACACUGCUCCCAGGAGACUGCAUUUCUUUCCUGGUCAGAAUGUCUCAUGAAAGAGGUGGGAUGUGAGCUGGUUCCUGAAAGACUGGGUGGGUGGACACUGCCUAAUACCUGAGUGAACGGACAGCUCAGCUGUGGCUGCGGCAGCCAGCAAGGCACUGUAAGCGUGCACGUCUGUUUUAGGAAGGUCUCCCAGGUGACUCCAGGAGACACUGGGGACUGACAGGGGUCAGUGUAUCUAGUCCGAGCGAGAAGGUGAGCGCUCCCCUGGGAUGGAGGAGGGGUCCAGGGUGAGCCACACUUCAAGGGAAGAAAGAGGCAAACGUGCUGGCUUGAGUCAAUGAAGAUUUCGAG